UACGUAGGAGACAAACGUUAUCCGGAGUUACUGGGCGUAAAGGGCGUGUAGGUGGUUUUGUAAGUCUGGCGUGAAAUUUUUCGGCUUAACCGGGAAAGGUCGUCGGAUACUGCAGGACUAGAGGACGGUAGAGGCGUGUGGAAUUCCGGGUGUAGUGGUGAAAUGCGUAGAGAUCCGGAGGAACACCAGUGGCGAAGGCGACACGCUGGGCCGUACCUGACACUGAUGCGCGACAGCAUGGGGAGCAAACAGG
rnacentral:rRNA from 1 species